GUCCUCACUUUCUUCUCUUGGCUGUAGAUCAGAAGCCUCAAAGGAAGCCCAAGGGUCCAAGCAUCUCGCUCUCCUCUCUCUGCUCCCUGCUCACCCUCCCCUCCCAGGCCUCUGCAUCCCUUUCCCUGGUGGAGCCAAACUACCGCAGGGCUCUGAGCACUCACAAGAC
ensembl:misc_RNA